GACGAAAGAUGCAAGCGUUAUCCGGAUUCAUUGGGUUUAAAGGGAGCGUAGGUGGCCUUAUAAGUCAGUGGUGAAAUCUCUGGGCUUAACCCAGAAAUUGCCAUUGAUACUGUAGGGCUUGAGUAUAGUUGCCGUUGGCGGAAUAUGACAUGUAGUGGUGAAAUACAUAGAGAUGUCAUAGAACACCGAUUGCGAAGGCAGCUGACGAAACUAUAACUGACACUGAGGCUCGAAAGUGCGGGGAUCAAACAGG
rnacentral:rRNA from 1 species